rnacentral:tRNA from 1 species
GGAAGAGACUCGUCCCCGGUGGGGCGUCCGGGCUUCAAACCCGGGUGGGGCCGCGAGCCGGUCCUAGGUGGGUUCGACUCCCAUUCUCUUCCGCCA